GGGGAUGUGGCUCAGUGGUAGAGUGCUUGCCUAGCAUGCAUGAGGCACUGGGUUUGAUCCUCAGCACCACA
rnacentral:tRNA from 1 species